GAUGAAGAACGUAGCGAAAUGCGAUAAGUAAUGUGAAUUGCAGAAUUCAGUGAAUCAUCGAAUCUUUGAACGCACCUUGCGCUCCUUGGUAUUCCGAGGAGCAUGCCUGUUUGAGUGUCAUUAAUAUAUCAACCUUCUCUUUUUUGAGUUGUUUGGAUGUGGGGGUUUGCUGGCCUCUUAAAUGAUUCAGCUCCCCUGAAAUGCAUUAGCAGAACAACCUGUUCAUUAGCGUGAUAAUUAUCUAUGCUAUUGAAUGUGAGGGCAGUUCAGCUUUCUAACCGUCCUUGGACAAUUCAUCAUUAAUGUGACCUCAAAUCAGGUAGGACUACCCGCUGAACUUAAGCAUAUCAACAAGCGGAGGA
rnacentral:misc_RNA from 1 species